AAAAUUAUAGUAAAAGGAAAAUCCGUUGAUUUCAAAAAAUCGUGAGGGUUCUCUAUCCCCA
rnacentral:tRNA from 1 species